NNNNNNNNNNNNCCUGCCGGAGGUCAUUGCUAUCGGAGUCCGAUUUAGCCAUGCUAGUCGANCGGGUUUAGACCCGUGGCGAAUAGCUCAGUAACACGUGGCCAAUCUACCCUACAGWSSSSUAUAWCCUCGGGAAACUGAGGCUAAUASSSSAUACUGUCUCCUACGCUUGAACACCGGGAGCUGGAAACGUUCCGACGCYGUAGGAUGAGGCUGCGGCCGAUUAGGUAGACGGUGGGGUAAUGGCCCACCGUGCCGAUAAUCGGUACGGGUUGUGAGAGCAAGAACCCGGAGACGGAAUCUGAGACAAGAUUCCGGGCCCUACGGGGCGCAGCAGGCGCGAAACCUUUACACUGCACGACAGUGCGAUAGGGGGACUCCGAGUGCGGAGGCAUAGUGCCUUNGCUNNNNUGCACCCUAAGGCGGUGCACGAAUAAGAGCUGGGCAAGACCGGUGCCAGCCGCCGCGGUAAUACCGGCAGCUCAAGUGAUGGCCGAUUUUAUUGGGCCUAAAGCGUUCGUAGCCGGCCGGGCAAGUUCGUCGGGAAAUCUACCAGCUCAACUGGUAGGCGUCCGGCGAAAACUGCACGGCUUGGGACAGGGAGACUCGAAGGGUACGUCCGGGGUAGGAGUGAAAUCCUGUAAUCCUGGACGGACCACCGAUGGCGAAAGCACUUCGAGAGAACUGAUCCGACGGUCAGGAACGAAAGCUGGGGUCUCGAACCGGAUUAGAUACCCGGGUAGUCCCAGCUGUAAACGAUGUUCGCUAGGUGCGACGCAGACUACGAGUCUGUGUUGUGCCGUAGGGAAGCCGAGAAGCGAACCGCCUGGGAAGUACGUCCGCAAGGAUGAAACUUAAAGGAAUUGGCGGGGGAGCACUACAACCGGAGGAGCCUGCGGUUUAAUUGGACUCAACGCCGGACAUCUCACCAGCCCCGACUGUUNNNAUGACGACCAGUGUGAUGAGCUUGUCAGACGAUCAKABAGGAGGUGCAUGGCCGCCGUCAGCUCGUACCGUGAGGCGUCCUGUUAAGUCAGGCAACGAGCGAGACCCGCAUCCCUAAUUGCCAGCAAGACCCACGAGGUCGUUGGGUACAUUAGGGAGACUGCCGCCGCCAAGGCGGAGGAAGGAACGGGCAACGGUAGGUCAGUAUGCCCCGAAUGGGCUGGGCUACACGCGGGCUACAAUGGUCAGGACAAUGGGUUCCUACUCCGAAAGGAGACGGUAAUCUCAGAAACCUGGUCGUAGUUCGGAUUGUGGGCUGAAACUCGCCCACAUGAAGCUGGAUUCGGUAGUAAUCGCGUGUCACAAGCGCGCGGUGAAUACGUCCCUGCUCCUUGCACACACCGCCCGUCAAAGCACCCGAGUGAGGUCCGGAUGAGGCCUGGGUUGCCAGGUCGAAUCUGGGCUUCGCAAGGGGGCUUAAGUCGUAACAAGGUAGCCGUAGGNNNAUCUGCGGCUGGAUCACCUCCUU
rnacentral:rRNA from 1 species